CUCCUCGCCUAGCAACCCCAUCCCGCCCUCUGGCCGCAGCCAAUCGCGGACGGGCCUGGUGGAGCGUCACCACCAGGGGGCGGGGCUUCCCUUAAAGCAGCCGAUUCCCUCUGGGCGGGCCUGCCCUCCUCCCGUCCGGGACGAGUUUGGUCACUCUCUUCCUUCGCCAAGGUUCUUCUUCUCUUCUCCUCCUCCUUGUUUCGUCUUCUGCGUGUGCUCCGCUUCUCGCUUAGUCUCUUCUUUAUGGCUUCUCCCCUAAAUUAUCACCCAUUUUUCUCUGAGAACUCCUGCUAGUUCUCUUCCCAUCUUUGUUGCUGCCUUUCUCAGCUGCGCUUUAAUGCUUAGAACCGAGAAUGGAAAGAAUCAAAAGGUUCGAAAGAAUCAUAAGACUAGAAAAAAUCAAUAGGUUCGAAAGAAUCUUCGUUCGGA
rnacentral:lncRNA from 1 species